rnacentral:rRNA from 1 species
CCUACGGGUGGCAGCAGUGGGGAAUAUUGCACAAUGGGGGAAACCCUGAAGCAGCAACGCCGCGUGGGUGAAGAAGGAUUUCGGUAUGUAAAGCCCUAUCAGCAGGGAAGAUAAUGACGGUACCUGACUAAGAAGCACCGGCUAACUACGUGCCAGCAGCCGCGGUAAUACGGAGGGGGCAAGCGUUAUCCGGAUUUACUGGGUGUAAAGGGCGCGUAGACGGGUGGGCAAGUCUGAAGUGAAAGCCCGCGGCUGAACUGCGGAACUGCAUUGGAAACUGUGUAACUGGAGUGAUGGAGAGGUAAGCGGAAUUCUUGGUGUAGCGGUGAAAUGCGUAGAGAUCAGGAGGAAUAC